rnacentral:rRNA from 1 species
UAGGGAAUCUUCGGCAAUGGACGAAAGUCUGACCGAGCAACGCCGCGUGAGUGAAGAAGGUUUUCGGAUCGUAAAACUCUGUUGUUAGAGAAGAACAAGGGUGAGAGUAACUGUUCACCCCUUGACGGUAUCUAACCAGAAAGUCACGGCUAACUACGUGCCAA